GCAGUCGAACGAGUUCUGAUUAUUGAAAGGUGCUUGCAUCUUGAUUUAAUUUUGAACGAGUGGCGGACGGGUGAGUAACACGUGGGUAACCUGCCCUUAAGUGGGGGAUAACAUUUGGAAACAGAUGCUAAUACCGCAUAAAUCCAAGAACCGCAUGGUUCUUGGCUGAAAGAUGGCGUAAGCUAUCGCUUUUGGAUGGACCCGCGGCGUAUUAGCUAGUUGGUGAGGUAACGGCUCACCAAGGCAAUGAUACGUAGCCGAACUGAGAGGUUGAUCGGCCACAUUGGGACUGAGACACGGCCCAAACUCCUACGGGAGGCAGCAGUAGGGAAUCUUCCACAAUGGACGCAAGUCUGAUGGAGCAACGCCGCGUGAGUGAAGAAGGCUUUCGGGUCGUAAAACUCUGUUGUUGGAGAAGAAUGGUCGGCAGAGUAACUGUUGUCGGCGUGACGGUAUCCAACCAGAAAGCCACGGCUAACUACGUGCCAGCAGCCGCGGUAAUACGUAGGUGGCAAGCGUUAUCCGGAUUUAUUGGGCGUAAAGCGAGCGCAGGCGGUUUUUUAAGUCUGAUGUGAAAGCCCUCGGCUUAACCGAGGAAGUGCAUCGGAAACUGGGAAACUUGAGUGCAGAAGAGGACAGUGGAACUCCAUGUGUAGCGGUGAAAUGCGUAGAUAUAUGGAAGAACACCAGUGGCGAAGGCGGCUGUCUGGUCUGUAACUGACGCUGAGGCUCGAAAGCAUGGGUAGCGAACAGGAUUAGAUACCCUGGUAGUCCAUGCCGUAAACGAUGAAUGCUAGGUGUUGGAGGGUUUCCGCCCUUCAGUGCCGCAGCUAACGCAUUAAGCAUUCCGCCUGGGGAGUACGACCGCAAGGUUGAAACUCAAAGGAAUUGACGGGGGCCCGCACAAGCGGUGGAGCAUGUGGUUUAAUUCGAAGCAACGCGAAGAACCUUACCAGGUCUUGACAUCUUUUGAUCACCUGAGAGAUCAGGUUUCCCCUUCGGGGGCAAAAUGACAGGUGGUGCAUGGUUGUCGUCAGCUCGUGUCGUGAGAUGUUGGGUUAAGUCCCGCAACGAGCGCAACCCUUAUGACUAGUUGCCAGCAUUUAGUUGGGCACUCUAGUAAGACUGCCGGUGACAAACCGGAGGAAGGUGGGGAUGACGUCAAAUCAUCAUGCCCCUUAUGACCUGGGCUACACACGUGCUACAAUGGAUGGUACAACGAGUUGCGAGACCGCGAGGUCAAGCUAAUCUCUUAAAGCCAUUCUCAGUUCGGACUGUAGGCUGCAACUCGCCUACACGAAGUCGGAAUCGCUAGUAAUCGCGGAUCAGCACGCCGCGGUGAAUACGUUCCCGGGCCUUGUACACACCGCCCGUCACACCAUGAGAGUUUGUAACACCCGAAGCCGGUGGUCGUAACCCUUUAGGGAGCGAGCCGUCUAA
rnacentral:rRNA from 1 species